rnacentral:tRNA from 1 species
GGACCUUUAGCUCAGUUGGUCAGAGCAGUCGGCUCAUAACCGAUUGGUCGUAGGUUCGAGUCCUACAAGGUCCA